rnacentral:rRNA from 1 species
GACGAAAUCUGGCUGCGUGCUUAAUUCAUGAUAUUCGAACGGUAACGCUCCCGAUUGCUGGGGUACAAGAUUGGCAAACCGGUGAGUAACACGGGCGUGACCUGCCCUGUCCUUCCGGCAUCAACCUGGGAAAGUGGGUCUAAUACCCGAUAGGACCGCGCCUUGAGCGCGCUGGUGAUGUAAAGUUUUUGUCUGAGUGGAAUGGGUCCCCGCGCCUCACUCACGCAUUGUUAGCGCGGGUAAUCGUCCUAUCAGUCGCCCGCCACAGUGAUCCCGCCUGAAAAGGUGGACUGCCCUCUUGGCACUGAUACACCGCCCAUACUCCUACAGGAGGUGACAACGACCAAUAUUGCACUGUGCGCCGAACCCUGAUGCAACCUACCCUCCCCUGCGGGAUUACGGCGCUUCGUCGUUGUACAACUCCUUGUCCCUCCCACUAAAGCUUUCUGAUCCGCAUAUGGAGAACGAAUCGCCCGGUAACUACUUGCUCUCCUUUCAGUUUUAUACUUGCGGUGCUACUCCUCUCUCCGGAAUUACUGGGCGUAUUAGACCUCGGAGGUGGUUUGUCGCGUCGUCUGUGAAAUUCCGGGGCUUAUUUCCGGGCGUGCAGGCGAUACGGGCAUAACUUGAGUACUGUAGGGGAGACUGGAAUUCCUGGUGUAGCGGUGAAAUGCGCAGAUAUCAGGAGGAACACCGGUGGCGAAGGCGGGUCUCUGGGCAGUAACUGACGCUGAGGAGCGAAAGCAUGGGGAGCGAACAGGAUUAGAUACCCUGGUAGUCCAUGCCGUAAGCGGUGGGCGCUAGGUGUGGGUUUCCUUCCACGACAUCCGUGCCGUAGCUAACGCAUUAAGCGCCCCGCCUGGGGAGUACGGCCGCAAGGCUAAAACUCAAAGGAAUUGACGGGGGCCCGCACAAGCGGCGGAGCAUGUGGAUUAAUUCGAUGCAACGCGAAGAACCUUACCUGGGCUUGACAUAUACCAGAUCGUCGCCAGAGAUGGUGUUUCCCAUGCGGGUUGUAUACAGGUGGUGCAUGGUCGUCGUCAGCUCGUGUCGUGAGAGUUUGGGCUAAGUCUCGCAACGAGCGCAACCGUCCUCCUAUGCAGCCAGCAUGUCGUGUGUGGGGCCUCGUAAGAACCUUCCGGGGUUAACUAGGAGGAAGGUGGGGAGGUCGUCAAAUCAUCAUGCACCUUAUGUACAGGGACUCACACAAGGUAUAAUGUUCGGUACAGUGGGCAGUCAGUCAGUGAGGUCGAGAUAAUCAGGCAAAAUCGGUCUCAGUUUGGAUAGGGGUUUGCCACUCGACUCCGUGAAGUGGGAGUCGUUAGUAAUCGCAGAUCAGCAACGAUGCGGUGAAUAAGUUUUCGUCCUA